rnacentral:rRNA from 1 species
UAGGGAAUCUUCCGCAAUGGACGAAAGUCUGACGGAGCAACGCCGCGUGAGUGAAGAAGGAUUUCGGUUCGUAAAACUCUGUUGUUAGGGAAGAAAAAAUGUAUAGUAACUAUAUACAAAAGAGACGGUACCUAACCAGAAAGCCACGGCUAACUACGUGCCAGCAGCCGCGGUAAUACGUAGGUGGCAAGCGUUGUCCGGAAUUAUUGGGCGUAAAGCGCGCGCAGGUGGUUUAGAAAGUCUGAUGUGAAAGCCCACGGCUCAACCGUGGAGGGUCAUUGGAAACUAAUAGACUUGAGUGCAGGAGAGAGAAGUGGAAUUCCGAGUGUAGCGGUGAAAUGCGUAGAGAUUAGGAGGAACACCGGUGGCGAAAGCGGCUUUUUGGCCUGCAACUGACACUGAGGCGCGAAAGCGUGGGGAGCAAACAGG